CACAACCCAUGAGGUCCUCACAGGGGCUGAGCCAAUGGGACCACUUGAUCUUGGACUUUCAGCCUCCAAAACCAACCUGCCUCUGCCACAAGAACAAGCCCAGGCUUGUCUGCUCAACAAUAAGAGAUCACACAGAGCAAGGGUGCUUUGUCUCAACACAGGCCCUUACGAACCAGCCAGCCUCACUCUGACCCACUAGUGAUACAGACACAUGAGCAAGUCCAGCCAAGACCAGCCCAACCCAUUCUGGAUCCACAGAACCCUCUCACCAGGCUUCAGACUAAGGGAACGGGCAGGACUGGAUGCUAGACAACAAAAGCCCCGUGUGUAAGAUUUGAACAAAAGAAAUAAGACCACAUUAGAUUAGACCCCAAAGGAUCAAAGAAAUGUCUACAAAUCCAG